GCCCGCGUAGCCCGCUGAAGCGUGAGGUCCCCGCUGGCCCCGCCACGACCCUGCACGCGCCCCCGCUGGGCCUAGUUAGCGUGCGGCCACGCAGAGAGCAGGAAAUAGAAAGUCUCGGGAAACCGUUGCGGAGGGCGGGCCACGGUGGAAUGCUGAAUUACAUCUACAUAGCUAACAGGUUCAUCUAAUCAAACACAGCCAGAACUGAUUCCUUGCUCUGAAAUAUACACAUGGCUUAACAAAACAGAAAGUGGAUGACUAGAAUAUGGAUUUCCAUGUAAACUGAUUCAACUGCUAUGGAAAAUAAUAUGACGGUUCCUCAAAAAAGUAAAAAUAGAUCUACCGUAUCAUCCAGCAAUUCCACUUCUGGGUAUAUAUCCAAACGAAAUUAGAACAAGACAUCAAAGAGAGAAGAUUACUCCGAAGUUUACUGAAACAUUAUUCACAACAGCCAAUGUAUGGAGACAACCUCAGUGCUCAUAAAUGGAUGUGUGGUGCUUGGAUGAAGAAGAUGUGAUAUAUAUAUUUUUCCUUUCCCAUGAGAAAGGACAUUCUGCCAUCUGCAACAAUAUAGAUGGACCUUGAAGACUCAAUAUUAAGAUGUUAAUUCUCAAAAAUUGAUUUAUAAAAUCAAAGCAGUUAUAAUCAAUUUCUUGGCAGGAUUCUCACUCCCUUUCCUCCCCCCCUCUUCUUUUUCCUCUGUAGAAAUUGCUGCACUAAUCCUGAAAUUUAUAUAGAUAUGCAUAUGAAAAGGACCUAAAAUAGCCAAAACAGUGUUCAGAGAAGAAGAAAGCAAUCGGAGAACUUAAAUUAUAUGGUUUUAAGACUUAGUAGGAAAAAAACUAUGGUAGUCAAAAAAGUUUGGACCUUAAACUUACAAAUGUAACACAUUAAUUAUAUCUUAAUAGAGCUGAGGGGAAAAAACCCUUAUUGGCCAUUUUGGGUUCUGAAUCAAGGUUUUCAAUCCUUGGCAUCUUAUUAAAUGUUUUACAGUUUAAAGGAACACAUAGCAUUAUACUUUUCUCUGAACAAUUCCUUUCCUGAUUUGGAUUGGAAAAUUGAUCAAGAUUUUGUAAAAGG